UGGAACUUGUCCCGCCCAGGCCGCGGCGAGGUCACUCCAGCCGAUCUCUCUGGACCGCAUUCGUCCCCUUCUCGUCCUCAUGGUGGACAAGAAACUGGUGGUGGUUUUCGGAGGCACAGAGAUAGGGUUUCACCAUGUUGCCCAGGCUGGUCUCAAACUCCUGGGCUCAAGAGAUCUGCCUGCCUCAGCCUCCCAAAGUGUCAGGAUUACAGGCAUGAGCUACCGGGCCCAGCUGCAACGCGCAAAAUCUUAAGGGUGCCCAGGGUGGCUCCGUGGCC
rnacentral:sRNA from 1 species